rnacentral:tmRNA from 1 species
GGGGCUGAUUCUGGAUUCGACGGGAUUUGCGAAACCCAAGGUGCAUGCCGAGGGGCGGUUGGCCUCGUAAAAAGCCGCAAAAAAUAGUCGCAAACGACGAAAACUACGCUUUAGCAGCUUAAUAAACUGCUUAGAGCCCUCUCUCCCUAGCCUCCGCUCUUAGGACGGGGAUCAAGAGAGGUCAAACCCAAAAGAGAUCGCGUGGAAGCCCUGCCUGGGGUUGAAGCGUUAAAACUUAAUCAGGCUAGUUUGUUAGUGGCGUGUCCGUCCGCAGCUGGCAAGCGAAUGUAAAGACUGACUAAGCAUGUAGUACCGAGGAUGUAGGAAUUUCGGACGCGGGUUCAACUCCCGCCAGCUCCACCA